GGGAAAAGCUCAAAUUUUGAAUCUGGCGUCUUUGGCGUCCGAGUUGUAAUUUGAAGAAGCGAUUAUCACGUUUUCGUUCGGGUUCAAGUUCCUUGGAAUAGGACAUCAGAGAGGGUGAGAAUCCCGU
rnacentral:rRNA from 1 species